AACCAGAUCAAAACAGGCCAAAAUGGGCCAAAAUGGGCCAAGACGGGCCAAAACAGACCAAAACGGGCCAAACCAUGUAAAAACAGGCCAAACUGGGCCAAAACAGACCAAGACGGGCCAAACUGGACCAAACCAGGCCAAACCAAUCAGCUCAAUCGGCAUUUACCAGAUAGAUAAACAGUGGAAAGAAAGAACCCCCCCACACGUCAGCUAAUAAAUUGCGCUGCACUCCGUGCGUUGCCGUCUUUUCCCAAACGUUAUCCUAACCUCUUUUCCUGUGGCCUGAUAGUUUUACCAGCCAAGUGACCCAAGCUUAGCCCCUGACCUCUUCACAGCUACUGCGCGGCACCGCUGUGGAAACGGCCUCGCCGCUCACCCCUCGGCUUCACCUCGGACACUCAACAGCGAGAAAAACCAUCAUCACAUUCCUCACUUCCUUUUUUUUUACCUUGCAAACCCUUUGUAAUGGCCAUUUACUCAGGUAUUAUGACCUCACCGUAUUUACAACCUGUGUUGUUAACUUAUUACAAGUAUUUGGAAGAACCCACACACAAUGUUAUAUAUAAAUAUAAUUCUUUUUUUUUCAUUUUUUUUCUUUUUUUAAUUCUUUGUUUAGAAGGGGAAGAAGGACAUUAAUCAAAACAGCAAAAGAGAUGCUGGCAUGUCCAUAAUGUGCAAUGUGCUGGAUGAAACAGCUCCACAAAAACUAAGGCUAAACAAAGUUAAGUGAUUGACAACGCUGUCUGGCUUUACUCAAUUAACUAUCCCAUUGUGCUCCUCUUUGCAGAGUCCCCUCGCCCCCGACCCCUUUCUCCUCGCGCCCCUUUAUCCUCCCCAUCACAGAGUUUUGCUAGGCUAAUACUUCCAAGGAAAUAGAGAGCUCUUUUUCUGCAGGGGCUCCUCUCCUUGACCUUCCAUUGCUCGUCGCUUCUCUUUCAGCCACUUCACAGUGUCUCUGGGGUUAGUGGGGAGAAUGCGGAGAGUACAUCAGCGCCGAGGGGCCGGCUCGGGGCAGGACCCCGGCCCAUCACUUCAAAGUUGGCCCGCAUUCAUUAAUUGUCCUUUGAAUUAAUAUUGGAGGAUCACAAUGUGGGUGCCAAUAGAGAAAGAACCUUUAAUGAAGCAUAGAGUCUGCAUUCAGUUGCAGAUCAGCGAGUGUGGAGUUUUUUCUGUUCUCUUUUUUCUGAGAAAGAGGGAAUUUUGAGAAUGAUCCAUCCAUCCAUCCAUCCAUCCAUCCAUCCAUCCAUCCAUCCAUCCAUCCAUCCAUCCAUCCAUCCAUCCAUCCAUCCAUCCAUCCAAGGUCCACUGGCCUACAUCCAGGAUAAUAGGCUGUCUAAACGUAUGAACACACAGAGUGAGGCCCACAUAUAAAUUUCUCUAUUAUGCAGCCUUGAGAGGAAAAUGGAAAUGUGGCUAUGGCACACAUUCCUCUGGUUGCAUUCAGACCCUCUGUGUCCUGAGACUAGCGAGAACCCUCCACAUCAUUUAGCAGCUCGCUGUGGAAACGCACGGGCCGGCGAGACCGAAAUUUAAAGAAAUCCAACAUCUGUCUCUUUGUUUACAGUUGUUUUCGGCCCCGGCAGAUCGGGCGUGGAAGGCUGGUCUAACAAGUUGGCUCCCGGAGUUUCGGCUACUUAAAAAAAAAAAAAAACGGGGGGAACGCUGUACAAA